GUUUUAAUAGUUUAAAAAAAACGUCGGUCUUGUAAACCGAAAAUAAGAACCCCCCUUUUUAAAACU
rnacentral:tRNA from 2 species